AAAUUGAAGAGUUUGAUCAUGGCUCAGAUUGAACGCUGGCGGCAGGCCUAACACAUGCAAGUCGAACGGUAACAGGAAACAGCUUGCUGUUUCGCUGACGAGUGGCGGACGGGUGAGUAAUGUCUGGGAAACUGCCUGAUGGAGGGGGAUAACUACUGGAAACGGUAGCUAAUACCGCAUAACGUCGCAAGACCAAAGAGGGGGACCUUCGGGCCUCUUGCCAUCGGAUGUGCCCAGAUGGGAUUAGCUAGUAGGUGGGGUAACGGCUCACCUAGGCGACGAUCCCUAGCUGGUCUGAGAGGAUGACCAGCCACACUGGAACUGAGACACGGUCCAGACUCCUACGGGAGGCAGCAGUGGGGAAUAUUGCACAAUGGGCGCAAGCCUGAUGCAGCCAUGCCGCGUGUAUGAAGAAGGCCUUCGGGUUGUAAAGUACUUUCAGCGGGG
rnacentral:rRNA from 1 species